UAUUUUUCUGUGUAACUUUACAAACGGAACUCUACCAAUUUGUGAGAAAAAAAAUCACAGAAAAGCCUGGUUUAUUUCACCACAGAUGGUCAUUUCCUUACAAAUUAAAGGUUGCAUUUUUCUAAUUUUGUCAUUGUGAGAACACCCUGCUUGCAAUAAAAGUUAUUCCUCUUUCUGUUGGCUAAAAUAAAAGGAAAUCCCUAAACUUGAAAGCCACAACGCCGCGGUCUGGAAAAGGUUAUGAAGUGUUCAUUUAUUAUCAUCAUUAAACCUCCGGUCGGUCUCUAAACAACAUGUCGGCUCCUCUCGGUUUGCGCAUAAAACAAGACUGAUUAGAUCAGAUCCACUGAUGUGGUACUUAACAAAUUAGGCCAAGUGAUUCCGCCACACUCCAGGCCGGCCAUUACGAGCCGGUUGCCAUGGACACGCCUCCUGUUAUUGUGUGCAGCCGUGUGCGUGCGCGAGCCAUCUGCCGGUACUUUAAUAGGGGUCAAGAUGCACCGCUAGCUGAAGAGAGGAGUGUUGCUAAUGGGACUGACACCUCUGCACUCGGCUAAAUAACUCAAAUUACUGCAGUGCAUUUUUGGCUGUGUAGCAUCACAGAGGCAGCUCUUAUCCAACCUGCCCAGGCGGUUUGUCUUCAAAGCAGAAGUUGCUCUUUGGGUCCCAAUAGGUGUGUCCUGCUUUCUUGAACAAGACCCAAGUCCAUAAUAGCUUUUCCAAGCGACUGUGCCAGUAAUGGAAACGAAACGCUGAUUCUUAAGAAAUGAAAAUCAAUAGACUCACCUCAGUUUAUUGGCACAUUUGCAUGUGAUAAUAAAGCUUAGCAUUAAAUAGAAACAUGAAUUCAAGGUGAUAUAAAACAUCAGCAGCAUCAUGAGGAGAAUUCACAGCUGUGACAGAUGUUAUUUUCUGAUUUCAGGUUGAAUUUCUGCUGAACUUAAACACAAAGAAACAUCAAUAAAACAGACACAAUGUGGUCACUCAUGCCAUGUUCGCACCAAUACGCUGCUAUUGAUCCGCAGGGCGCCUGCGUCUCAACAUGGCUGCGAUCUAUCAGAUAUGGAAACUUUAUCUCAUCUUCAAUGAGCUCCUGCUGCUGCUAAUGUCACAUUAAGAUGCCCAAACUCUCCCUCGGUACAGAAGGAAAUGAUCAUAAGAUAGGAUUAGAUUUAGAUCCACACAGUCUAAUUAAAGCUAAAUACUUUUUUGAUACCAAACGGAAAUUAAACAAAUCUGUAAUAGGGGUGGACAAUAUGGAAUUAAAGUUUUAUUAUAUUUUAAUUCCCACAAAUUUGAACCGGAAGUGAUCUGCGCCAUUUUAUCAAAGUAUAGAUGAACAAUGACUUCAAGACCAUCAAAAAGAAAGUAUAUUGACAAUCUUGACCAACGUACAAGAUAUAUAUUUAUCAACAAAAUGGCUGCUGUUGGGAUCGACCCGUAUGAGACAGAUAAGAGUGAAAGAAGAAUGACAAGGUGGAGGAGCCUGAAAUCCACGUACGGAUACUAUCAGUGCUUCAACAGAUUUAUAAAGGACGGACGAACUCCCCGUGUGAAUAACGAGGUUCUGGUGACUGGAAGAACAUAGAAACACAUAGGCAACAUGUCCGUCUUAGCUAACUAGCAAAAUUAGCUUAGCAGUAAUUAUCACCUGUAUUUAUCGUAGUAUUACAUGGGGGAGAGUAGAGCACUCAAUAAAGAAUUACAUUUACAUAAC